CCUUCCACCUCAGAUUGUAAGGCUGACCAGCUACAGUAUUGCAAUUCUUGUCAAAUAAAGGUUGAUUGUUUGAAGAAAUGACAAAGCCUCUCCUGAUUGGUUAGAAUUUCCACCAGAAUGUGCAGUAACAAUGAUCGACCAGACUCAUAGUACAGCAUGAAUGACUGACUGCCCAGUUAGACAUCAGUUCACCUUCUCACCUCAUACUGUAUUGGAGCAGCAGCUGACUGCCCAGUUAAAUUGGGUUGAUGUUUGGCUCUGAAUAGGUCUCUAAAUAAUUUAUUAUUAUAAUAUAACAUACAAAAUAAUGAAUAAUGAAGAGUGAUGGUUUUCUGUGAAUAGCUUCCAUAACGUUACUAUAGUUAAUUAACGUAAAUAUUAGAAAGCCGGGUUUGACCGUCGGCGUUGUGAGCUACAGUACAGUACCGUUAUCUAGCUAUAUAACGUUAUGUCCUAAUUAGGCAGAACUAAGUUUGGAUUAUUUCCUGAACUAUAUUCUGUCCCAUAUAUUGUAUAUCGUUUCCAUAAAGCCAACAUUGCUUUACACUCUCAUUAACGUAAAUUUCCAAUCUAGAGCAGUUCUCACUUUUGUGAUAAUAAACUAGCUAACAUUAGCUUCGUCAACUAACUAAGGAUGGUGACCUGUCCAGACGAGAUGUUACAAUGAACUGAAUCGUCAUUGGAGGUCUUCCUCUACAUAGCCUGCUACAGCAUGCAAUGCUAUUAACUCACAAGGGGGCAUAAUGUUGCAUGUACAAUACUAUCCCAUUUUGGAAACGUUGCAUGUGCUUUCAAGACUAUUCUUUGACAACAUUUUCUCUUCCUUUGAAAUUCUUAUAGGACAGAACAUGGACACAAUGCAAUUGGGAUCAAGAAGAAGGCACAGAUAUGUUGUAGGACAGCUGCAUUUGAAGUGUACAUUUAACCCACAUAGCAGUAAAUACAAACUGAAAUCUAGUAGCAUACAACUGUGUGCAAAUGAUCUUUUCAGAUCUUCUCAGAAAUGAAUAAAGUCUAUGGAAUGGAUGAAGACAAAAAUAUAAUUCAAGGACUAGCAGAGGUAGAGAGGCGAGGCAGGGGCGAGGACAUCAUCCUGCUAUUUUGACAGUCCCUGAAGGACAAAAUAGAAGAGGACUGGAGACCACAGCAGUGAUUCUGCUCUUGCCCUACCUCUUCAAUGAGGACCUGAGUGGCCUUUAUGUCCGUGACAAGAUUUCAACACUGUUCACUCCUUUACUGCACAUCGGCGGAAAUCCAUUUCACCAUGAGAGUGAAAUCCCACUGGUCAUUGAUGAAGAGAACAUCCACGCCCUAUAGAGGACAUCCCUGUGGGACUUGGGGCUCUGCUACGCCUGGAUUUUUAUUUUCCCUUAAAUACACACUAAAGCUGAAAAAUCUGUAUUUAGCAUCAAGUCUACAAUGUUGUAGGUUAACCUAUGAUUCAUUUUUAAUGUGUUGUUUUUAUUGUACAUUAUUUAUACAUUUUAAAAUGUCAUGAAAAGCACUAUACAAAGUAAAUGUAUUAUUUAUUAUGGUCUGACAUGUCUGCAGAAAUGUUGCAGUUUUGUAAUGUGUUUUGUUUUGUAAAUUUUAAUUCACAUUUGUGGUGCCACUAAAUAAACAAUUCAUAAUUUAAA